rnacentral:rRNA from 1 species
GGCCUGUUGAUUAUGAUUUCAGGUCUAGCCUGCCCUAUGAGUAGUUAAAUGGCCGCGGUAUACUGACCGUGCAAAGGUAGCAUAAUCAUUAGUUUUUUAAUUGAAAGCUUGUAUGAAAGGUUUGAUGAGGAAAUUUCUGUCUCUGUGGAAAUUUAUUAGAAUUUUAUUUUUAAGUGAAAAAGCUUAAAUUAUCAUAGAAGACGAGAAGACCCUAUAGAGUUUUAUAUUUUAUUAGAUUUUGGAUAAAUUGGUAUAUAUAAUUUGGGAAUUAAUACAGUAUUUUGUUGGGGUGAUAGGAAAAUUUAAUUAACUUUUCUUUAUAUAAACAUUUAUUUGUGAUUUUAUGAGCCUAGUGUUUAGAUUAAAAGAUAAAAUUACCUUAGGGAUAACAGCGUAAUCUUUUUUAGAGUUCUUAUCGAAAAAAUGGGUUGCGACCUCGAUGUUGGAUUAAAAUUUAUUGCUGGUGUAGAAGCUGGUAAAUUAGGUCUGUUCGACCUUUAAAAUUUUACAUGAUCUGAGUUUAAACCGGUGUGAG